GGAAUCUUCCACAAUGGACGAAAGUCUGAUGGAGCAACGCCGCGUGAGUGAUGAAGGCUUUAGGGUCGUAAAACUCUGUUGUUGGAGAAGAACGUGUGUGAGAGUAACUGCUCAUGCAGUGACGGUAUCCAACCAGAAAGCCACGGCUAACUACGUGCCAGCAGCCGCGGUAAUACGUAGGUGGCAAGCGUUGUCCGGAUUUAUUGGGCGUAAAGCGAGCGUAGGCGGUUUAUUAAGUCUGAUGUGAAAGCCCUCGGCUCAACCGAGGAAGUGCAUCGGAAACUGGUAAACUUGAGUGCAGAAGAGGAGAGUGGAACUCCAUGUGUAGCGGUGGAAUGCGUAGAUAUAUGGAAGAACACCAGUGGCGAAGGCGGCUGUCUGGUCUGUAACUGACGCUGAGGCUCGAAAGCAUGGGUAGCGAACA
rnacentral:rRNA from 1 species